rnacentral:rRNA from 1 species
UACAGAGGGGGCAAGCGUUGUUCGGAAUUACUGGGCGUAAAGGGCGCGUAGGCGGCCUGCUAAGUCGAACGUGAAAUCCCUGGGCUCAACCCAGGAACUGCGUCCGAUACUGUUUGGCUUGAAUCCGGGAGAGGGAUGUGGAAUUCCAGGUGUAGCGGUGAAAUGCGUAGAUAUCUGGAGGAACACCGGUGGCGAAGGCGACAUCCUGGACCGGUAUUGACGCUGAGGCGCGAAAGCCAGGGGAGCAAACGGG